GGUUCCAUAGUGUAGUGGUUAGCAUGUCUGCUUUACAUGCAGAAGGUCCUUGGUUCAUGCCCAAUGGAGCCA
rnacentral:tRNA from 1 species